AAUCUCCUUGGUGAAUCCCUACCACACGGCCACUGGGCCCUAUGUGGGUACUUCCCCUGGCAGUGACAUCUUCUUUUCAGGCCACCUAUCCCCUUGUAGUACAGUGCUGAUGGUUAGAGGGUCAUCCCCCCCAUGUCACUUCCCAGCAGGGCUGCCACUUUUCCCAGUGUUCCACACCCUCCGUCUAGUGACGGCUCUUUGGAGCAGAAGCAGGGACCCGAGGGCCCAUCCCCUUGGGGGGACAACUUCUCAGGAGGUCCACUGCAGGUCUUUGGGGCUUACCUGUUCCUGCUUCACCCUGGUGGCAGUGCAGGGCCCCAGCAUGGCAUGGUAUGGCAUGGCAUGGUGAUCCUGCCCCAGUGGCACUGGAGAAGUGUGACCUUAGUCCUCGAGGAGGUAGACAGGCAGCUCCUGGAGAAUCCCCUGACCUGGGACACAUGGCCACCAUCAUCCUUCCAGAAAAUAACACAAAGAGGGCACAAGUCCCACACUCCUCAGUGACCUGACCUGCCGGAGAUCGGGGCCCAGUAAGAGAAAGGGCUGGUUUGGAAGGGGUGAGUUCAAGCCUUGGGUCAGAGAGUCAGGGGAGGAAGAGGGGAGGCAUCAGGAUGGACCUUUCGCCUCUGUUCCCAAGGCAUCUGAGGAUUUCUCCCGUGCUCCUCAGACAUUUAUAGAAACUUAAAUUCCCUGAAGUCUCUGAUUCAUUAAGUCUCAGUAACAUCUAAGAAUUCUGCAUUUCUAACAAUCUUGGGUGCUGCUGCUGCUGCUGGUCUCUGCACCACACUUUGCGCCAUAAGAGACCAUAAGGGGUGAGUCACAGUCUAGUGAAAACAAAAGAGAGAAAGGAAGCUACUCCUGGUACAGAGAUGGCCACUGAGCAUCACUUUCCACCUAAGCUUCCUGAGAGCCACAGCAAGAAAGAGGCGUUCACUAGCUCUUCCUCCAAGAUGACAGACAGCUGCCUGUCCCGAGUAGAAAGGCUUUUCCUGAUUCUGGCUGUCCAGGGAAUCGACCUGGCAGAACUUCUGCCAGGAGAGUUGGAAAGCCUGUCGGUCAUUUUAGGAGCACAGCAGGGUUUUCUAUGGGAAGGGUUCAUACUUGAGUAGGGUGCAUCGCUGAUGUACAGUCACGGUUCCGAUAACACCAGGCCUCUGGUGCCCAGCCUGGGGGCCGUCCUGCCAUCUCUUACUGACUCAGAUGCCAACGGGCUCAAGUGUCCCUGCCAAUGAUGAAAACCUGCUACUGGGUGCCCCACCAUGCAGUUCUGGG
rnacentral:lncRNA from 1 species